UACGAAGGGGGCUAGCGUUGCUCGGAAUCACUGGGCGUAAAGCGCACGUAGGCGGAUUGUUAAGUCAGGGGUGAAAUCCUGGAGCUCAACUCCAGAACUGCCUUUGAUACUGGCGAUCUUGAGUCCGGGAGAGGUGAGUGGAAUUCCUGGUGUAGCGGUGAAAUGCGCAGAUAUCAGGAAGAACACCCAUGGCUAAGGCGGCUCUCUAGUACGGUACUGACGCUGAGACGCGAAAGCGUGGGGAGCGAACAGG
rnacentral:rRNA from 1 species